UACAGAGGGGGCAAGCGUUAUUCGGAAUUAUUGGGCGUAAAGGGCGCGUAGGCGGCUUUGCAAGUGACGGGUGAAAUCCCUCGGCUUAACCGAGGAACUGCCUGUCAAACUGCAUGGCUUGAGACCGGGAGAGGUGAGUGGAAUUCCCAGUGUAGCGGUGAAAAUGCGUAGAUAUUUGGGAGGAACACCAGUGGCGAAGGCGGCUCACUGGACCGGUACUGACGCUGAUGCGCGAAAAGCGUGGGGAGCAAACAGG
rnacentral:rRNA from 1 species